GGUGUCUUCGCUAAUGUGUCUUGGCUAAGGUGUCUUGGCUAAUGUGUCUUGGCUAAUGUGUCUUGGCUAGUGUGUCUUGGCUAAGGUGUCUUGGCUAAUGUGUCUUGGCUAAGGUGUCUUGGCUAAUGUGUCUUGGCUAAUGUGUCUCGGCUAAUGUGUCUUGGCUAAGGUGUCUUGGCUAAUGUGUCUUGGCUAAGGUGUCUUGGCUAAUGUGUCUUGGCUAAUGUGUCUUGGCUAAUGUGUCUUGGCUAAUGUGUCUUGGCUUAGGUGUCUUGGCUAAUGUGUCUUGGCUAAUGUGUCUUGGCUAAUGUGUCUUGGCUAAUGUGUCUUGGCUAAUGUGUCUCGGCUAAUGUGUCUUGGCUAAUGUGUCUCGGCUAAUGUGUCUUGGCUAAUGUGUCUUGGCUAAUGUGUCUUGGCUAAUGUGUCUUGGCUAAUGUGUCUUGGCUAAGGUGUCUUGGCUAAUGUGUCUUGGCUAAUGUGUCUUGGCUAAGGUGUCUUGGCUAAUGUGUUUUGGCUAAUGUGUCUUGGCUAAUGUGUCUCGGCUAAGGUGUCUUGGCUAAUGUGUCUUGGCUAAUGUGUCUUGGCUAAUGUGUCUUGGCUAAUGUAUCUUGGCUAAUGUGUCUUGGCUAAUGUGUCUUGGCUACUGUGUCUUUGCUAAGGUGUCUUGGCUAAUGUGUCUUGGCUAAGGUGUCUUGGCUAAGGUGUCUUGGCUAAUGUGUCUUGGCUAAGGUGUCUUGGCUAAGGUGUCUUGGCUAAUGUGUCUUGGCUAAUGUGUCUUGGCUAAUGUGUCUUGGCUAAGGUGUCUUGGCUAAGGUGUCUUGGCUAAGGUGUCUUGGCUAAUGUGUCUUGGCUAAUGUGUCUUGGCUAAUGUGUCUUGGCUAAGGUGUCUUGGCUAAGGUGUCUUGGCUAAUAUGUCUUGGCUAAUGUGUCUUGGCUAAUGUGUUUUGGCUAAUGUGUCUUGGCUAAUGUGUCUUGGCUAAGGUGUCUUGGCUAAAGUGUCUUGGCUAAGGUGUCUUGGCUAAGGUGUCUUGGCUAAGGUGUCUUGGCUAAGGUGUCUUGGCUAAGGUGUCUUGGCUAAGGUGUCUUGGCUAAGGUGUCUUGGCUAAGGUGUCUUGGCUAAUGUGUCUUGGCUAAGGUGUCUUGGCUAAGGUGUCUUGGCUAAGGUGUCUUGGCUAAGGUGUCUUGGCUAAGGUGUCUUGGCUAAGGUGUCUUGGCUAAGGUGUCUUGGCUAAGGUGUCUUGGCUAAGGUGUCUUGGCUAAGGUGUCUUGGCUAAUGUGUCUUGGCUAAUGUGUCUUGGCUAAUGUGUCUUGGCUAAGGUGUCUUGGCUAAGGUGUCUUGGCUAAUGUGUCUAGGCUAAGGUGUCUAGGCUAAGGUGUCUUGGCUAAUGUAACUUGGCUAAUGUGUCUUGGCUAAUGUGUCUUGGCUAAUGUGUCUUGGCUAAGGUGUCUUGGCUAAGGUGUCUUGGCUAAUGUGUCUUGGCUAAUG